CUUCGGCGAUCAUCUUCGUGGUGCUGUCCCACCGCUUUGCUUCCUGGAAGGCGCUGCAUCAUCCACACGGGGUGAAUCUGCGAUUGCGUAGCCUCAUCGGGGCCUGCGCCCAGCAUCGGCAAGAUCACCACUGGAGUUCGCUGCGAUCGCAGGGUGCCCUAUAAACAAGCCGACAUCGACGCCUGCUCUUCAUUGGCAGCAGCGGCAUUGCAUGACCCAAAGUUAAGCCAGAAUCUUCUGUUUGCGCAGCUCUCUUUGUCGGCCUUUGUUUCUUCGGCGAUCAUCUUCGUGGUGCUGUCCCACCGCUUUGCUUCCUGGAAGGCGCUGCAUCAUCCACACGGGGUGAAUCUGCGAUUGCGUAGCCUCAUCGGGGCCUGCGCCCAGCAUCGGCAAGAUCACCACUGGAGUUCGCUGCGAUCGCAGGGUGCCCUAUAAACAAGCCGACAUCGACGCCUGCUCUUCAUUGGCAGCAGCGGCAUUGCAUGACCCAAAGCUAAGCCAGAAUCUUCUGUUUGCGCAGAUAAGGUUCGCAAAAACCACAGCUAUUGGCGACAUCAGGAGCUUCCCUGGUGAAACAACAAACGAGCACUGGACCUGGCCAAGUCGACACCAGCUGAUUCUUCACUUCUCACCAGUGCUCAGGCGAAGGCUGUGCUUCCUACACAUACACACCAACUUUCACUUGUUGGAGGCUCCAAUUUACGGGCGUUCGUAGCCGGUGUCCUUCGCUUCCUGUUCAGUGAUGCCGUGGGGCAGCAGUUCAGCAUGCUUGGGCAACGCAAGAAGAGAAGAUUGAAAGAUAUGGUUAUUUACAGCGUCAUUGAACAGGCCAUUAGGAGCAACUCUACAUAUGACAAUGCAACAUCCUAUGCGAUUCGUAUUGCGGCGGGAUCCUGGCUCAAGAACUGCACUUCGAGGAUGAUGGCUGCUAAAAAGAAACUUGGCGAAGAUCCCAAUGACUCAAGCUUCUGUGACUAAGCAUUCAGAGUAGCAACUCAAUUUUUUUUUAUCAUCUGCUCUCAAAGUUAUCACUGUGCUAUUGCUCAGAGUUCUGACAGCACACUCUCACACAAUUUUGGAUUGAGGCAAAGUUGUCCGUGCAUUUUCAUGCAUUUCGUUUCAUAGGGGCCCCACAAUGCCUGUAGAAAAAAAAUGUGGAGUUUGUUAGGUAUGAAGGAGACACUCUCGCAAAUUGUUUUCAAAUA